GUUUCACCAAGCGGCGUCGUCUUUCUGGCGGUGACACACACACAAGAUAGCAAAACCCUUGCGAACGCAGCUUGCAAUGCAAGUGGGUCAAAACCCUUGAUACGAUCCGUUGUAAUAUCACUCACUGGAUAGACUGGGAGGAUAGUCUCCGUCAGAAAGAAAUACAAAACCGAAAAUGGCAACGGCGUAUAGAUUAGCAGCAAUGGCGAGUGCGAGGUCUGUGGCCUCUCGUCCAAACUCGGUACUCAGAAGAACUAUGGCUGCUCCUAAACCAAUUCCAACUUUCCCUUUUUCUUCUUCCACCUCACCCCUCCCUCGAGCUGCCUCCAGGUACCCUUUUCAUAUCAUUGACUCUUUCUUAAUUACUUAUCAGGUACUUCUUUAAUUAGGUGACAAAAUCGUCCUCCACACUUACGCAUAACUUUUUUUUUGUUUAUUUUAAUAAUCGACUAUUUGUUUUCCGGACCUGACAGGGUUGUUGCGGCAAUGGGGAGCGUGGAGUCGAUGAUGCCGCUUCAUAGCGCCAUAGCUUCAGCUCGUCUCAGGUCCAGUAUUGCCUUUGAUUCCUCGUGCUGGAGCUUCCUCUCUCAAGGUCUCUAUUCUUUUCCUAAUCUUUAGCUCACUAUGGUUCAACGAUUUUGACUUUUUUUUUCCCGUAUCCUUUUUGUGUUAUGUAGUCUAUAUAUGAAGUGAUUGAAAGUUGUUUCGGGAAUUAAGCUGUUUUGUGUGUUCAUUUAAGAUUUUGGGGGUCUAAAUGAUUACAGUAAGUGCACUUAUUAGAUAAUCCUUUACAAACUUCGUAGCUGUACACAGAAUUCAUCGAGUAAUUGUCUAUUACGUUCUCAUGAGCUUGUUGUAUUUGAUGGUGGUAUAGGACUUGCAAUACCUUUGUGACAAGAUUUCGCUGGGGUACCACCAGAAGGCAAUUGGAUACUUCCUUUUUCUUUUUUGGUUGAAGUUCCUGUACCCCUUUUGAUGUUGGAAUUAGAUUGAUUUCAAUAACUAGCUUGAGUUUGCUGCUUUUGGGUAAACACCCGCUGAUAACAAGUGAUAUUAUUUGCUUCCCAUUUGCCCCAAUGAUGAUUGUGUUUCAUGUUGCUGAUUGGGAUAUGGAGGAAUUCUGUCUUGGAUUCCUUUUGGGUGAGGUUGAAGGGCAGCCUUUUCUGUAUAAUUUCAUUUGUCUAUUCUUCUCUGGUUUUUUGAGACUUUAUUCUUCUGACUGCUGGUCUUCUCUGCUUGUACUGAAGAAUCUUUCUUCUUUUACUAAACAGGCUUGAGUGGGUAUUUUUCCAGAAGUAUGUAAGAGGAUUAUAUAUACCUAACAAUUUCUUUGUCCAGAAUCUGCUGAAUUUUGAGUUUUGAGGUGGCUAUUGUUUUAUACCUGCAUUUGAUGGACUUGUAUUGAUACACCUAUGUUGGGAAUGAAAUGCUUCUUGUGGGUGAAAGUACUUGUAAUGUGAAAGUUAUUGAUUUUACCCACCAUUACCCUUUGCUAGGGAACUGGAAGAGCACCAUAGUUUUGCCUGGUGUGAUGCUUCCUACUUUGUUUACCAAUCAUAUCACUCCUCCUCUUUACUUCAAUCAUCCACCCACCCUUCAUUAUCCAAUAGAGGUAAUGAACGGUAAACACAAACCUCUGGUGCUCCUUGGGGUGCUUCAUUAUCUGUUGUCCUAAAUGUCCUGUUUAAACUUUCCUGAUGCUAUCUCCUUGAAAUGUUGGGGAAGGUUUUUAUUUCCCCCCCUACACUUGGUUUGAGUCUUAAAGUCUAUCAUCUCUAAGCUUAUUUAAGAAGCAUGAAAGUUAAUUGGAUUAUCCUCCCAUCAGAUGAGACUCGGCAACCAAUAGUAAUAGAUGGUCAUAGUGGUCUUACUACUGCAUAAGUAACAGAAGUUGGGAACUCAAUCAGCUUUCAUAAUCUAUUACUGUUGCAGCUGAAUUUACUAUAAAUGAUCUUUGAGAACACUUACCAGAAAAACUUUUCGCUGAUUUGCCUUCAUUUUUUCUUUCUACAAAUGCAUUAGACUUUGCUGUUCCACGGUGACAAAGCUCCGGGUUGCAGUUGACCGGUUUCUCUUCUACUACUUCUGUCCAGUCCCAAACCUUCCCCUAGCCGUAUCCUUUCAUGAAUUCUUGAGUAAGGGUAUCCACUGUAGCUUUGAAGAGUGCUUUUGUUGAUUUUCAUCUAUAGGUGUUAUCUUUCGUAUCCCCUUUCAUGUUAGUGAUAGGAUGCUGAAAAUUGACAGAUGAUAGGUUAUUGUUGCCAGGGUGGAAUACAUUUCUAUCAAAUGUGCUCAAGCCCCAUUUCGCUGCCUACUUUUUCCCUUCCCCUUCCCCACGGUGACACAACCCAAAAAAAAUAAAAAGAUCUUGGAAAUGAAAGGAGGGGCGGAAAAAGCAAAGACGUUGAUUUAGGUUUUGCCUUUUGCCGAGAAGCCUGUUGAAGACUUUACCCGUUGGACUAGUCCUUAGUUGUUUUGAUUUGGCUUACUUAUAAAGCAGGCUCACUGAUUUGAUAGAAAGAAUCAUUUGAAACUUGCCUACAAGCUGGAAGUAGCCGUGAUUGUAUUCUCUUUUGUGCAACCAUGAGAAUUUGGUAGUACGUUUCCAAUAUGGUGCCUAAUUUUGCUUUUAUACUAGUUCCUAAUUAUUUUCCAGUCGCGUACUUUUGUCUGGUGCCAGAAAAAAGAAUGAUUGCAAUAUCAAGGCAAAGGGAAGUCUAGAGAUUUUCUUUAAGCAACUUGAAUUGCCCCGAUACUGUACAUGAAGCUGUAUGCCUGAUAAGAUUCAAAAAU
rnacentral:lncRNA from 1 species